CUACGGACUUAAUUGGAUUGAGCCUUGGUAUGGAAACUUACUAAGUGAUAACUUUCAAAUUCAGAGAAACCCCGGAAAAAAAAGGGGCAAUCCUGAGCCAAAUCCUAUUUUUCGAAAACAAACAAAAAAACAAACAAAGGUUCAUAAAGACAGAAUAAGAAUACAAAAGGAUAGGUGCAGAGACUCAAUGGAAGUUGUUCUAACAAAUAGAGUUGACUGCGUUGCAUUAGUCAAGUAAAGGAAUCCUUCUGUUAAAGUUAAAAUUCCAGAAAAAAGAAAGUUAAAGUAAAGUAUAACCCUAUAAACAUAAUACAUAGGAAACAUAAUACAUAGGCAUACGUACUGAAAUACUAUCUCAAAUGAUUAAUGACAACCGACUCGAAUCUGUAUUUUAUUCUAUUUAUAUGAAAAAUUAAAUAAUUAAUAAUUCAAAUAAUAAUAAAAAAAAAAUUGCUUUGAUUUGAAUCGAUUCCAAGUUGACGAGAGGAUCGAAUAUUCAUUGAUCAGAUCAUUCACCCCAGAGUCUGCUGAUUAAUUGGACGAGAGUAAAGAUAGAGUCCCAUUCUACAUGUCAAUAUCGA
rnacentral:ncRNA from 1 species